rnacentral:rRNA from 1 species
UACGUAGGGGGCAAGCGUUGUCCGGAUUUAUUGGGCGUAAAGAGCUCGUAGGUGGUUUGGUAAGUCGGAUGUGAAAUCUCCAGGCUCAACCUGGAGGGGUCAUUCGAUACUGCCAUGACUAGAGGUCGGUAGGGGAGUGUGGAAUUCCUGGUGGAGCGGUGAAAUGCGCAGAUAUCAGGAGGAACACCCGUAGCGAAGGCGGCACUCUGGGCCGAUUCUGACACUGUGGAGCGAAAGCGUGGGGAGCGAACAGG